UUGACCUCAAAUCAGGUAGGACUACCCGCUGAACUUAAGCAUAUCAAUAAGGCGGAGGA
rnacentral:rRNA from 1 species